GCGAGUCAUUGUAGUAAUACAAGGCAGACGGCUCAGUAACGCGUACUCUACCUAACCUAUGGACGGGAAUAACCUCGGGAAACUGAGCAUAAUGCCCGAUAGAACAUUAUACCUGGAAUGGUUUAUGUUCCAAAUGAUUUAUCGCCGUAGGAUGGGACUGCGGCCUAUCAGUUUGUUGGUGAGGUAAUGGCCCACCAAGACUAUUACAGGUACGGGCUCUGAGAGGAGUAGCCCGGAGAUGGGUACUGAGACACGGACCCAGGCCCUAUGGGGCGCAGCAGGCGAGAAAACUUUGCAAUGUGCGAAAGCACGACAAGGUUAAUCCGAGUGGUUUCUGCUAAAGGAACCUUUUGUCGGUCCUAGAAACACCGAUGAAUAAGGGGUGGGCAAGUUCUGGUGUCAGCCGCCGCGGUAAAACCAGCACCUCAAGUGGUCAGGAUGAUUAUUGGGCCUAAAGCAUCCGUAGCCGGCUUUGUUAGUUUUCGGUUAAAUCUGUACGCUCAACGUACAGGCUGCCGGGAAUACUGCAGAGCUAGGGAGUGGGAGAGGUAGACGGUACUCGGUAAGAAAGGGUAAAAUCCUUUGAUCUAUUGAUGACCACCUGUGGCGAAAGCGGUCUACCAGAACACGUCC
rnacentral:rRNA from 1 species